AGCUGGACGCAAGCUGAGCUGAGGCUGAGGACGUUGAUCACGGAUAGGGAACGUCUGAAGCUGAGCUUGAUCGGAGUUUGCAAGCCGGAACGCAAGCAAGAACAAUUUAGGGUUCUUCGGGAUUAGGAUUCCAAAAGAUCAAGACGGUGCCGCGUAUUGUUUCUGCGAGUGUGGACGCGUCUGAGAUCGGAUCGACGAACGGGUUGCGCUGAUGGAUUCGUCUCGUCAAGAGAUUCAAUUUGAUAUGUGGCGCGUUGUCUGGUUCCUCAGGGUUUGAGAGAUAUAUCGAUUUUAAGUUGCGCCUGAUUUAGGGUUUAUGUGUGACGGAUUUUUAGGUUAGGUUUUGUCUCAGGGUUUUGGAGUCUAUCGUGCUGAUAACGUGUUGUAAAUAGAGUGUUUAGAGACUGAAUAUUUAUGUGUUCUUAUUAAUGAUCAAGGGGGUUCCUUUAUAUAAGGAUUACAAGAUAAAGAUAAAAGAAAAGUGUACAUAUCCUUAUCCAAGAGGAAAUAGAAAAACUACUAAAACAUAGGAAAGGGAAACUAUCUAUAUCCUAAGUCGGCUAAGGCUUUGGCCGACUCUUUCUCCUCCUUGCGGCCGCGGUUGGGCUUGAUGUGGCCGAUGG
rnacentral:lncRNA from 1 species